rnacentral:rRNA from 1 species
GAUGAACGCUGGCGGCGUGCCUAAUACAUGCAAGUCGAGCGAACCACUUCGGUGGUGAGCGGCGAACGGGUGAGUAACACGUAGGUGAUCUGCCCAUCAGACGGGGACAACGAUUGGAAACGAUCGCUAAUACCGGAUAGGACGAAAGUUUAAAGGUGCUUCUGGCACCGCUGAUGGAUGAGCCUGCGGCGCAUUAGCUAGUUGGUAGGGUAAAGGCCUACCAAGGCGACGAUGCGUAGCCGACCUGAGAGGGUGAGCGGCCACACUGGGACUGAGACACGGCCCAGACUCCUACGGGAGGCAGCAGUAGGGAAUCUUCGGCAAUGGGCGAAAGCCUGACCGAGCAACGCCGCGUGAAUGAUGAAGGCCUUCGGGUUGUAAAAUUCUGUUAUAAGGGAAGAACGACUUUAGUAGGAAAUGGCUAGAGUGUGACGGUACCUUAUGAGAAAGCCACGGUUAACUACGUGCCAGCCGCCGCGGUAA